rnacentral:rRNA from 1 species
AUACGGAGGGUGCAAGCGUUGUUCGGAUUCACUGGGUAUAAAGGGUGCGCAGGCGGUCUGAUAAGUCAGAGGUGAAAUAUGUCGGCUCAACCGGCAAACGGCCCCUGAAACUGUCAGACUUGAGUCCGGGAGAGGUAGGUGGAAUUCCAGGUGUAGCGGUGAAAUGCGUAAAUAUCUGGAGGAACACCGGUGGCGAAGGCGGCCUACUGGCCCGGAUCUGACGCUCAGGCACGAAAGCAUGGGGAGCGAACGGGAUUAGAUACCCCGGUAGUCC